rnacentral:tRNA from 1 species
UCCCUGGUGGCUCAGAGGUUAAAGCAUCUGCCCGCAAUGCGGUGAGACCCAGGUUUGAUUCCUGGGUCGGGAA